UAUGCGUUCACACUAUGUGUUCA
rnacentral:siRNA from 1 species